GGGGAUGUAGCUUAGUGAUAGAGCAUCUGCUUGGCAUGUACAAGACCCUGGGUUCAAUCCCCAACAUUUCGA
rnacentral:tRNA from 1 species